GGGGGCGUACUGGUUUCGACUGGUGGUUUGAAGGGCUGGCUGCAUGCCGAGGUUGAUCAGUUGGCCUCGUAAAAAGCUGAUCAAACAAAUAAACGCAAACUACGAACCUGAACUUGCUCUGGCUGCCUAAUUGAGCGGCCCGUGGCGCGCCCGAUGCCUGCUGAGGUGCGCUGCGAACACCAGCGGGCUGGUUCCCCGCCGGGCGUCCGGGCGGAGGAACGAGAGGUUACAGUGGCGAUCGGGAGAACGGCAUUCUGCCUGUCGAAGGCUGCCUCCCUAAAUCAAAAGACCGGCUAAGCAUGUAGAGGCUUGCAUGGACGAUCAUUAGGACAGGGGUUCGACUCCCCUCGCCUCCACCA
rnacentral:tmRNA from 1 species